GGCGGACGGGUGAGUAAUGCCUAGGAAUCUGCCUGGUAGUGGGGAUAACGUUCGGAAACGGACGCUAAUACCGCAUACGUCCUACGGGAGAAAGCAGGGGACCUUCGGGCCCUUGCGCUAUCAGAUGAGCCUAGGUCGGAUUAGCUAGUUGGUGGGGUAAUGGCUCACCAAGGCGACGAUCCGUAACUGGUCUGAGAGGAUGAUCAGUCACACUGGAACUGAGACACGGUCCAGACUCCUACGGGAGGCAGCAGUGGGGAAUAUUGGACAAUGGGCGAAAGCCUGAUCCAGCCAUGCCGCGUGUGUGAAGAAGGUCUUCGGAUUGUAAAGCACUUUAAGUUGGGAGGAAGGGUUGUAGAUUAAUACUCUGCAAUUUUGACGUUACCGACAGAAUAAGCACCGGCUAACUCUGUGCCAGCAGCCGCGGUAAUACAGAGGGUGCAAGCGUUAAUCGGAAUUACUGGGCGUAAAGCGCGCGUAGGUGGUUAGUUAAGUUGGAUGUGAAAUCCCCGGGCUCAACCUGGGAACUGCAUUCAAAACUGACUGACUAGAGUAUGGUAGAGGGUGGUGGAAUUUCCUGUGUAGCGGUGAAAUGCGUAGAUAUAGGAAGGAACACCAGUGGCGAAGGCGACCACCUGGACUGAUACUGACACUGAGGUGCGAAAGCGUGGGGAGCAAAC
rnacentral:rRNA from 1 species